rnacentral:rRNA from 1 species
UUUAUGGAGAGUUUGAUCCUGGCUCAGGACGAACGCUGGCGGCGUGCUUAACACAUGCAAGUCGAACGGUGAUGUCAGAGCUUGCUCUGGCGGAUCAGUGGCGAACGGGUGAGUAACACGUGAGUAACCUGCCCCCGACUCUGGGAUAACUGCUAGAAAUGGUAGCUAAUACCGGAUAUGACGAUUGGCCGCAUGGUCUGGUCGUGGAAAGAAUUUCGGUUGGGGAUGGACUCGCGGCCUAUCAGGUUGUUGGUGAGGUAAUGGCUCACCAAGCCUACGACGGGUAGCCGGCCUGAGAGGGUGACCGGCCACACUGGGACUGAGACACGGCCCAGACUCCUACGGGAGGCAGCAGUGGGGAAUAUUGCACAAUGGGCGAAAGCCUGAUGCAGCAACGCCGCGUGAGGGAUGACGGCCUUCGGGUUGUAAACCUCUUUUAGUAGGGAAGAAGCGAAAGUGACGGUACCUGCAGAAAAAGCACCGGCUAACUACGUGCCAGCAGCCGCGGUAAUACGUAGGGUGCAAGCGUUGUCCGGAAUUAUUGGGCGUAAAGAGCUCGUAGGCGGUUUGUCGCGUCUGCUGUGAAAUCCCGAGGCUCAACCUCGGGUCUGCAGUGGGUACGGGCAGACUAGAGUGCGGUAGGGGAGAUUGGAAUUCCUGGUGUAGCGGUGGAAUGCGCAGAUAUCAGGAGGAACACCGAUGGCGAAGGCAGAUCUCUGGGCCGUAACUGACGCUGAGGAGCGAAAGCAUGGGGAGCGAACAGGAUUAGAUACCCUGGUAGUCCAUGCCGUAAACGUUGGGAACUAGAUGUGGGGACCAUUCCACGGUCUCCGUGUCGCAGCUAACGCAUUAAGUUCCCCGCCUGGGGAGUACGGCCGCAAGGCUAAAACUCAAAGGAAUUGACGGGGGCCCGCACAAGCGGCGGAGCAUGCGGAUUAAUUCGAUGCAACGCGAAGAACCUUACCAAGGCUUGACAUAUACCGGAAACAUGCAGAAAUGUGUGCCCCGCAAGGUCGGUAUACAGGUGGUGCAUGGUUGUCGUCAGCUCGUGUCGUGAGAUGUUGGGUUAAGUCCCGCAACGAGCGCAACCCUCGUUCUAUGUUGCCAGCACGUAAUGGUGGGAACUCAUAGGAGACUGCCGGGGUCAACUCGGAGGAAGGUGGGGAUGACGUCAAAUCAUCAUGCCCCUUAUGUCUUGGGCUUCACGCAUGCUACAAUGG